rnacentral:rRNA from 1 species
UUCAACGGUGUGGUCGCGGCCCCCGGGGGCUCCCCCCGGGCGGUAGAGGUAACACUCUUACGCGCCACAUGUCUGAAUCCUUUUUUUACGAGCACCUUUCGUUCUCCUUCGGUGGGGCAACCUGCCGUUGGAACUUAUCAAAACCUUUUUUGCAUCUAGCAUUACCUGUUCAGAUACAAACAAUCGUUACAACUUUCAACAAUGGAUCUCUUGGCUCUGGCAUCGAUGAAGAACGCAGCGAAAUGCGAUAAGUAGUGUGAAUUGCAGAAUUCAGUGAAUCAUCGAAUCUUUGAACGCACAUUGCGCCCCUUGGUAUUCCAUGGGGCAUGACUGUUCGAGCGUCAUCUACACCCUCAAGCUCUGCUUGGUGUUGGGCGUCUGUCCCGCCUCUGCGCGUGGACUCUCCCCAAAUUCAUUGGCAGCGGUCUUUGCCUCCUCUCGCGCAGCAAAUUGCGCUUUAAAGGGGUGUGGGCCAAGUCAAAAAAAGCAACAUUAUCGUCUUUGACCUCCGAUCAGGUAAGG